rnacentral:rRNA from 1 species
UCCGUAGGCGGUGUGGCAAGUCGGAAGUGAAAUCUCUGGGCUUAACCCAGAGGCUGCUUCCGAAACUGCCGUGCUAGAGUGUGAGAGAGGCGAGUGGAAUUGCGGGUGUAGCGGUGAAAUGCGUAGAUAUCCGCAGGAACAUCCGAGGCGAAAGCGGCUCGCUGGAUCACAACUGACGCUGAGGGACGAAAGCUAGGGGAGCAAACAGGAUUAGAUACCCUGGUAGUCCCAGCCCUAAACCAUCAGGACUUGGGGUUUGCCCUGUACGGGGCAAGUCCCGUAGCUAACGCGUUAAGUCCUGCGCCUGGGGAGUACGGUCGCAAGGCUGAA